UGCAGUCGAACGAAGUAGCAAUACUUAGUGGCAGACGGGUGAGUAACAUGUAGGUAUCUGCCCUUUGGCCUGGAAUAACACGAGGAAACUUGUGCUAAUACCGGAUAAGUCUUUACGGAGAAAGCUUUAUGCACCAUUGGAUGAGCCUGCAAUUGAUUAGUUUGUUGGUGGGGUAAUGGCCUACCAAGACUGUGAUCAAUAGCUGAUUUGAGAGGAUGAUCAGCCACAUUGGGACUGAGACACGGCCCAAACUCCUACGGGAGGCAGCAGUGGGGAAUCUUGCACAAUGGAGGAAACUCUGAUGCAGCGAUGCCGCGUGAGUGAAGAAGGCCUUUGGGUUGUAAAGCUCUUUCGUCGGGGAAGAAAAUGACUGUACCCGAAUAAGAAGGUCCGGCUAACUUCGUGCCAGCAGCCGCGGUAAUACGAAGGGACCUAGCGUAGUUCGGAAUUACUGGGCUUAAAGAGUUCGUAGGUGGUUGAAAAAGUUAGUGGUGAAAUCCCAGAGCUUAACUCUGGAACUGCCAUUAAAACUUUUCAGCUAGAGUAUGAUAGAGGAAAGCAGAAUUUCUAGUGUAGAGGUGAAAUUCGUAGAUAUUAGAAAGAAUACCAAUUGCGAAGGCAGCUUUCUGGAUCAUUACUGACACUGAGGAACGAAAGCAUGGGUAGCGAAGAGGAUUAGAUACCCUCGUAGUCCAUGCCGUAAACGAUGUGUGUUAGACGUUGGAAAUUUAUUUUCAGUGUCGCAGGGAAACCGAUAAACACACCGCCUGGGGAGUACGACCGCAAGGUUAAAACUCAAAUGAAUUGACGGG
rnacentral:rRNA from 1 species